rnacentral:rRNA from 1 species
UACGUAGGGUGCAAGCGUUAAUCGGAAUACUGGGCGUAAAGCGUGCGCAGGCGGUUGUGCAAGACAGAUGUGAAAUCCCCGGGCUCAACCUGGGAAUUGCAUUUGUGACUGCACGGCUAGAGUGUGUCAGAGGGGGGUAGAAUUCCACGUGUAGCAGUGAAAUGCGUAGAGAUGUGGAGGAAUACCGAUGGCGAAGGCAGCCCCCUGGGAUAACACUGACGCUCAUGCACGAAAGCGUGGGGGAGCAAACAGG